rnacentral:rRNA from 1 species
GACGAACGCUGGCGGCGUGCUUAACACAUGCCAGUCGAACGGAAAGGCCCUGCUUGCAGGGUGCUCGAGUGGCGAACGGGUGAGUAACACGUGGGUGAUCUGCCCCUUACUUUGGGAUAAGCCUGGGAAACUGGGUCUAAUACUGGAUAGGACCAUGCUGUAGGUGGUGUGGUGGAAAGAUUAGUUUCGGUAAGGGAUGAGCUCGCGGCCUAUCAGCUUGUUGGUGGGGUAAUGGCCUACCAAGGCGUCGACGGGUAGCCGGCCUGAGAGGGUGGACGGCCACAUUGGGACUGAGACACGGCCCAGACGCCUACGGGAGGCAGCAGUGGGGAAUAUUGCACAAUGGGCGCAAGCCUGAUGCAGCGACGCCGCGUGGGGGAUGACGGCCUUCGGGUUGUAAACUCCUUUCAGCCAUGACGAAGCCCUUGUGGUGACGGUAGUGGUAGAAGAAGCACCGGCUAACUACGUG